GACGAACGCUGGCGGCGUGCUUAACACAUGCAAGUCGAACGGUGAAAGCGGAGCUUGCUCCGCUGGAUCAGUGGCGAACGGGUGAGUAACACGUGGGCAACCUGCCCCUCACUUCGGGAUAACUCCGGGAAACCGGGGCUAAUACCGGAGAUGACCUCCUUGGGCAUCCUUGGAGGUGUGAAGUUUUUCGGUGAGGGAUGGGCCCGCGGCCUAUCAGCUUGUUGGUGAGGUAGUGGCUCACCAAGGCGACGACGGGUAGCCGGCCUGAGAGGGCGACCGGCCACACUGGGACUGAGACACGGCCCAGACUCCUACGGGAGGCAGCAGUGGGGAAUAUUGCGCAAUGGGCGAAAGCCUGACGCAGCAACGCCGCGUGCGGGAUGACGGCCUUCGGGUUGUAAACCGCUUUCAGCAGGGAAGAAGCCGCAAGGUGACGGUACCUGCAGAAGAAGCACCGGCUAACUACGUGCCAGCAGCCGCCGUAA
rnacentral:rRNA from 1 species